AUACUUACCUGGCAGGGAAGAUACCAUGAUCACGAAGGUGGUUUUCCCAGAGUGAGGCUUAUCCAUUGCCCUCCGGAUGUGCUGACCCCUGCGAUUUCCCCAAAUGUGGGAAACUCGACUGCAUAAUUUGUGGUUCACACUUUCCUCCGGAAAAAA
rnacentral:snRNA from 1 species